GUGUCGCUGAGCUGGUGGUAAAGGGAAACCGCAGAGACAGUUCCAUACUCUUCCUCAGUCUGGUAAUGGAAAAAGGCAACCGGUCCCGGCGCGUGAUGUGGGAAUCCUUUGUGAAAAUGCAGAAUGAAUUACCAAAGCUGAACAAAAUACUGAAAGAAAUCCAGGAGCUCGGUCCUGAUCCACAAGAAUAUAUGAACAUCAUCAGAGGUUUAUCUGAAUUACCCUCUCAUAUGGAAGAUGUUCAACAGAAACACAAGGAGACUCUGCGAGCACAGAC